AUGUUGGCCGGGCGACGGUUGUCCCGGUUUAAGCGUGUAGGCUGGUUUUCCAGGCAAAUCCGGAAAACUAAGGCUGAGGCGUGAUGACGAGGCACUACGGUGCUGAAGCAACAAAUGCCCUGCUUCCAGGAAAAGCCUCUAAGCAUCAGGUAACAUCAAAUCGUACCCCAAACCGACACAGGUGGUCAGGUAGAGAAUACCAAGGCGCUUGAGAGAACUCGGGUGAAGGAACUAGGCAAAAUGGUGCCGUAACUUCGGGAGAAGGCACGCUGAUAUGUAGGUGAAGUCCCUCGCGGAUGGAGCUGAAAUCAGUCGAAGAUACCAGCUGGCUGCAACUGUUUAUUAAAAACACAGCACUGUGCAAACACGAAAGUGGACGUAUACGGUGUGACGCCUGCCCGGUGCCGGAAGGUUAAUUGAUGGGGUCAGCGCAAGCGAAGCUCUUGAUCGAAGCCCCGGUAAACGGCGGCCGUAACUAUAACGGUCCUAAGGUAGCGAAAUUCCUUGUCGGGUAAGUUCCGACCUGCACGAAUGGCGUAAUGAUGGCCAGGCUGUCUCCACCCGAGACUCAGUGAAAUUGAACUCGCUGUGAAGAUGCAGUGUACCCGCGGCAAGACGGAAAGACCCCGUGAACCUUUACUAUAGCUUGACACUGAACAUUGAGCCUUGAUGUGUAGGAUAGGUGGGAGGCUUUGAAGUGUGGACGCCAGUCUGCAUGGAGCCGACCUUGAAAUACCACCCUUUAAUGUUUGAUGUUCUAACGUUGACCCGUAAUCCGGGUUGCGGACAGUGUCUGGUGGGUAGUUUGACUGGGGCGGUCUCCUCCUAAAGAGUAACGGAGGAGCACGAAGGUUGGCUAAUCCUGGUCGGACAUCAGGAGGUUAGUGCAAUGGCAUAAGCCAGCUUGACUGCGAGCGUGACGGCGCGAGCAGGUGCGAAAGCAGGUCAUAGUGAUCCGGUGGUUCUGAAUGGAAGGGCCAUCGCUCAACGGAUAAAAGGUACUCCGGGGAUAACAGGCUGAUACCGCCCAAGAGUUCAUAUCGACGGCGGUGUUUGGCACCUCGAUGUCGGCUCAUCACAUCCUGGGGCUGAAGUAGGUCCCAAGGGUAUGGCUGUUCGCCAUUUAAAGUGGUACGCGAGCUGGGUUUAGAACGUCGUGAGACAGUUCGGUCCCUAUCUGCCGUGGGCGCUGGAGAACUGAGGGGGGCUGCUCCUAGUACGAGAGGACCGGAGUGGACGCAUCACUGGUGUUCGGGUUGUCAUGCCAAUGGCACUGCCCGGUAGCUAAAUGCGGAAGAGAUAAGUGCUGAAAGCAUCUAAGCACGAAACUUG
rnacentral:rRNA from 1 species